rnacentral:rRNA from 1 species
UACGAAGGGGGCUAGCGUUGCUCGGAAUUACUGGGCGUAAAGGGCGCGUAGGCGGCACUGUUAGUCAGGCGUGAAAGUCCUGGGCUCAACCUGGGAACUGCGCUUGAUACGGCAGAGCUAGAGGAUGGAAGAGGGUCGCGGAAUUCUCAGUGUAGAGGUGAAAUUCGUAGAUAUUCGCAAGAACACCAGUGGCGAAGGCGGCUCACUGGCCCGAUACUGACGCUGAGGCACGAAAGCGUGGGGAGCAAACAGG